AUACUUUCCGGGCAGGGAGACACCAUGAUCAUGAAGGUGUUUUCCUAGAGUGAGGCUCAUCUACUGUACUUGGGAUGUGCUGACCCCUGAGAUUUCCCCAAAUGCAGAAAACUUGAGUGCAUGAUUGGUGGUAAUGGGAUAUAGACUGUGUUCACACUCUGACCUU
ensembl:snRNA LOC120093963 U1 spliceosomal RNA